rnacentral:rRNA from 1 species
UAAGGAAUAUUGGACAAUGGGGGCAACCCUGAUCCAGCCAUGCCGCGUGAAGGAAGAAGGACCUAUGGUUUGUAAACUUCUUUUGUAGCAGAGAAAACCCUUCUACGUGUAGAAGGUUGAUAGUAUGCUAAGAAUAAGCAUCGGCUAACUUCGUGCCAGCAGCCGCGGUAAUACGAAGGAUGCAAGCGUUAUCCGGAUUUAUUGGGUUUAAAGGGAGCGUAGGCGGUCUUAUAAGUCAGUGGUGAAAUCCUAUCGCUUAACGAUAGACGUGCCAUUGAUACUGUAGGACUUGAGUACAGAUGCCGUUGGCGGAAUGUGUCAUGUAGCGGUGAAAUGCAUAGAUAUGACACAGAACACCGAUUGCGAAGGCAGCUGACGAAACUGUAACUGACGCUGAGGCUCGAAAGCGUGGGGAUCAAACAG